AUUUAGCUGAGAAGUACCAAAUAGUAUGAAACGCACGUCCUGGAU
rnacentral:hammerhead_ribozyme from 1 species